AGGGAAAUAGUUCAGCUGGUAGAGCAUAAGAUUUCCAUGCCGAAUGUUUCUAGUUCGAUUCUUGUUGUCCCUU
rnacentral:tRNA from 1 species